rnacentral:rRNA from 1 species
ACGUAGGUCCCGAGCGUUGUCCGGAUUUAUUGGGCGUAAAGCGAGCGCAGGCGGUUUAAUAAGUCUGAAGUUAAAGGCAGUGGCUUAACCAUUGUUCGCUUUGGAAACUGUUAGACUUGAGUGCAGAAGGGGAGAGUGGAAUUCCAUGUGUAGCGGUGAAAUGCGUAGAUAUAUAGAGGAACACCGGUGGCGAAAGCGGCUCUCUGGUCUGUAACUGACGCUGAGGCUCGAAAGCGUGGGGAGCAAACAG